rnacentral:rRNA from 1 species
CCUACGGGAGGCAGCAGUGGGGAAUAUUGCGCAAUGGGCGAAAGCCUGACGCAGCGACGCCGCGUGAGGGAUGAAGGCCUUCGGGUCGUAAACCUCUGUCAGGAGGGAAGAAACGGCAGGUGAGUAACUGCGCCUGUUUUGACGGUACCUCCAAAGGAAGCACCGGCUAACUCCGUGCCAGCAGCCGCGGUAAUACGGAGGGUGCGAGCGUUAAUCGGAAUCACUGGGCGUAAAGCGCACGUAGGCUGUUAUGUAAGUCAGGGGUGAAAUCCCACCGCUUACCGGUGGAAUUGCCUUUGAUACUG